UACUCUAUAAUACCAUAAAAUACCAUAUUAAAAUGUUUUACGAAGUGCAAUGGCACAAAUUUGAAAGAAAAUGUGUCUGUUUUCCCUCUUCCGCUUUUUUUUCUAACCACCCCGGUGGCAUCAGUGCAGGGACUUAUCUGACAGACGUGCGCUGUUUACAGUUGGGCAGAGGAGCUAAUAGCAGAACUGGUUGUUAGUUUUGGCGUAAUUUAUCAUAAUCGUGGUAUAUUAUUGCGUUUAUGGAAACUACACAAACUCUAGCCUGUCAACAGAUCAAGUCCACAAGUUUCCUCUUGCUAUUUUGGUUCGUGAAAUGGGAUAAAUCCAAUAAGAGUGAUAGCUGAUCGCGAACGGCGAAAAACACUCCUGGAUCAGUCGGAGAUGCAGCUCGGUGAGCUGUAAACGGUAAGACCACUCGUUUUUCGUUUAUGUUUGUCAACUUUCAAGUCCGUAAGCAUUAUUCUUUGAGUAAUUUGAAGCAACGUGAUGUGUUUACUUUGGAGUAGCCGAUAGCACGGCUGCUAGCUUGUAUUAUUAAGCAUAUUAAAUAUACUUUUUUAAAGCGUGUAAAAAUGUACACAUAUGAUAAGACGGCUAGUAGCAUCAGUUUGCUAAUAUAAUAAAUGUCUUGUAUAGUUACAGCGUUGUGACUUUGUUUGCUUUGGGGUGUGUUUAUUAGACUUUGGGAGACAGAUUAUGACCCGGAGCUAAAGGCUUUCUCUCCACUGGCCUCUCGGUCAACUGUGCUUCACUUUGGCUCACAGAGUAACCUCAACUAAGAAUAUAUGCAUCAGCCCUCACUGCAUGUCUGACGGUGGACUACUGGAGUUCAUCACAGGCUCGACGAGAAUGCAGAAGUGGCCACUACAUUUGCUCUCCUUUCUAGAUCCUUCCAGCGGGUUUACAAGGAUGAAGCUGUCGGCAUCUUUUUACACAGCAUUCACAAUUUAACACACAUUAAAGACAUGAUGGUGUGGUACCCA